AGAAUCAACGCUGGCGGCGCGCUUAACACAUGCAAGUCGAGCGAGAAAGGGGAGCAAUCCCUGAGUAAAGCGGCGUACGGGUGAGUAACACGUGGGUAAUCUACCUUUUAGUGUGGAAUAACCCUGGGAAACCGGGGCUAAUACCGCAUAAGCCUGAGAAGGGAAAGCAGCAAUGCGCUGAAAGAGGAGCCCGCGGCCGAUUAGCUAGUUGGUGGGGUAACGGCCCACCAAGGCGAUGAUCGGUA
rnacentral:rRNA from 1 species